AAAGACCACUGGGAACACUUUAAAGAUGGAUCAACAUAUGAUUGAUCUGAGGCUAAAGGUUUUGAUACAUCUAAUAUUUGUACAUACAGUCAGAGAGCACAGUCUGGUAUUUACAAAAAAUCCUGGGUGUUCAUUAACAACCAAGAUAUUUCCCUUCUCUGGACAAAUAAUUCUUUGACAGUCUCCAUUUACCAAAUGCCUCAAUGUUUGUUAAUAUGCAACUCUAAACUCAUCUGUUAUCAGGAUUUAUAAUAAACUACUUGUGGUCUUACAUUAUCAAAACCAAACAGAUGUCAAAUUGAAGGUGGAGUUUAUGAAAAAAAAAAAUGGCAUCAACACUUGAGAAAUACCAGGGUUGCUAUCCGGUGCACCGUAUCCAAUGUCAGGGUUUAUUCUCGGACUGACCCCGUUCUUGAAAUGUGUGUAGGUUUGCUGUGUCUGUGACUUGGCAGGCCGUCUGUGCUGACAAACGUACAGCAGCCUGAAUGCAGAGAGGCUCAUGGAGACGUGAGGAACGUGCUCUGGCAGGCCAGCAGGACGACCCGGCCUCCUUUCUAUUGUGUGCUGCAAACGUACACAACCCAAAUGUGGCCCUAAAUCUCUUGGUCAACAAAUUGAUCAGAGUGUGUAACCUCUGACCUAUACGCUUGUUACCCCACCCCCAGCAGACAGGUUGGUAACAGCAUAUGGGACAGUUUGGGGGAGGGUCUGACCUCUCACACAGCCAAGCUUUUUCUAUCUGACUUCAUGAUCAUUUUUCUCUGUCAUGUAUCGUCUGGGUUGUGUGUGUUUAUGUUCAUUUUUACAGUAAAUUAGAUUGUUUAUUCUAUGUUUUGUCACUUGCAUGUUGCAUAACAAUGACCUGUAUUGAUUCAUCCCAGAGGCUCUUUUGCAACCAAGACAAACACGUUUCUAGACCAACUUUUACCACACAAUCCUAAAAGGUAAACAAAACCAUGAACACAAUAUGACUGUUUUCAGUUUUGUAUGCCAAAAAUACAAUGCCCAUGAACAAAAUCUCCACUACCAAAAACCUAAUUUUAAUUGAAAAUGUAAAUACGUUUAUAUAUUUUGUGUCUUCUAUGAAUUGGACCACUGCAAGUGGAAAAUCCUUCUAAGGGUCUGUGGUGAAGCUGCUGGGCAGCUGUCAGGCCGCAUGGGUGCAACGUAAAAAGCGCUCAACUGUAAUUGUGAUUUGGCUCGAAGGCAGAAGUCCAGACAGAGAGAUUUGUCUGUGAGGGGGAUUUUCUGAAGCUGCUGAUGAGAUGUCGAAGCCACAAAGAGACAUAAACGGAAAGGGUUGUGUGCAAAACUAUAUGCACAAAUACACUGUUACAUCCCAAAAAAAAAACAAAAAAGAAGACAGCUAUUUAAAACCCCUAAAUGCAACACUUCUGAAACAAACCCCCCAUCUUUUUUAAUCUAUGACUUCCUUUCACACUUUCAUUUUUUUACAUGACGUUACUUGUUUCAGAAAAUAAGACCACAACUAAAAGUGUUGUGACAAGUAGGGCUUUUGUUCUAGUCUUUUGCCCAUUCUCACAGGUGAUGUUUUUUUUUUGUUUCAGAUUUUAGAGGGAAAAAAACACUUGUGACACAUAAACAACACUGAAACAACCAUUUGCCUUCACAGCUGUUGUAAAGACAUUCUGAAUGAAAAAGUGUAGGUGUGGGCUGCCUCUCUGUGGUUUCAACAGGCACUGCAUCUCAAAUUGGGUUCUAUGUCUAAAUUGAGUUCAUUUCAUUGGAGCUGGAAGUAAGUCAUUUUGUACGAGUGAUGUCAAAUUCACUCAGUCCUGUUAUCAUAUAUUCAAUGUUUGGUACACUGGUUGUAAGUUUUUUGUUUUAUGUUUUUAACCAUAAAUCUGUUAAACCAAAGCUAAGACACAAAAAUCUGCAUCAUCUUCUUCCAUCUUCGUAAUUAAUUACAGGAUUCCUUAACAAAUCUGUUAUUGUGGGUGAUGUACACAUGUUCUACUUUCACACAUUUUGUCUUUAAUAUUAAGGUGUCUGGGAAUUAAAAGUAGUAUAAAACUGAUCUACGGCUGUUUUUAUGAAACGUGAAGCCCCCUUUUGAUCCAAAUUUCUUCAAUUUAAAGCAAACUUUUGAACUUUGAAAAUGGUGUACGCCAGAAUGAAUAGAUAAUAAGAUAAUUUUCACGAAACCACAUUUUUACAAUCUGUUUAUGAUGCCAAGAUUCUAAAAAUUUUUUAAAACUACCUGAAAAUUGUCACACCUAGGCAUCAACUGUAGAUCAUUAACACGCUGGUCAAACGGGUCGCAGAAUUCCCCCUUGCUAUAACCACUGCGAAAGCCAACCGUGACCUCUGACCUCUUCCUACAAAAAUCUCAGGUCUUUCCUGUUAAAGAACUCUCAAAUUCCUCCUCUGUAGGUGAGCGUUAGUGUCAGAAUUCUUCUCAUGAUAAAGGAAUUUCAGGGGUCAUUGUUACUCUCAGAGUGCAAGUGUGUAAAACUCUGCAUACUACAAGGAGUGCUGGGAAGGAUCAAUAAAGCCCCCCCUAUCCAUGUCGAUGGGGUCAUUAGGGGUUGGAGUGUUCAAUACAUUGACUCCUCAAAGAUGCAGAGGAAAGCAGAUGGACAAAACAAGAAGUCAGCUUGUGACAGGUAAAAUGGAACUGCUCCUCUUCCUCAUUCUUGUCAGUCUCCCAAAAUCUACCCAGUUUUUGGCUCUUGAAAGAAGAUUUGCUGAAACUGUCCGUCUCCAUGGUCUAACAGGGCAGAUGUUCAGAGAUACAGCCAGAUUGAACCCAGCUGAGCAGACUGGCAUCAAAAAUGAGCUUUCCCAACAUUUUUCCAUGUCAAUAGAGAAGAGAGAAGAUUUGGAUCGCACAGAGAUUGAGCAGGAACUGAGAAGUGACGGGAAUGCCACAGGGGAGCCCGCCAAGAAUAAGGUAAUUGCGGAAGAAAGAAGGGAAGAGCAACAGCUGCAAAAGAACAGAAGAACUAAGGAAGCGCCAGCCCAUGAGACAAUCCCUGAAGUCAUUAGCCGCGUUUACAUGGGCAAAAGUAAUCGGAAUGAACGCCUGAUCGGAAAGAAAAUGCGUCAUGUAAACGCGCCGUUCGGAAUA